AAUCAACGCUGGCGGCGUGCCUAACACAUGCAAGUCGAACGCGAAAGUCCCGCAAGGGAUUAGUAGAGUGGCAAACGGGUGAGUAACACGUGGGUGACCUGCCUUCGAGCGGGGGAUAACGUUCCGAAAGGAACGCUAAUACCGCAUAACAUCCUGCCUUUUAAGAGGCGGUGAUCAAAGCCGGGGAUUCGCAAGAACCUGGCACUUGAAGAGGGGCCCGCGCCUGAUUAGCUAGUGUGGGGAAUGGCCUACCAAGGCAACGAUCAGUAUCCGGCCUGAGAGGGCGGACGGACACACUGGGACUGAGACACGGCCCAGGACUCCUACGGGAGGCAGCAGUGGGGAAUUGUUCGCAAUGGGCGCAAGCCUGACGACGCAACGCCGCGUGGA
rnacentral:rRNA from 1 species